rnacentral:rRNA from 1 species
AGCCCAGCGCAUAAUCUCCCGGGCUACCAAGCCUGCGGCGAAAUGUUGCGUUAAGGGAAAGGUCGUUUCAAAGCCCUGCACAGCGUGUUCCUAAAUACGUCUUGAAUAUUCACUGUCUCCUAACGGAUUCAACGGUUCCAUAGAGGGUGCCAGACCCGUGUGGCCGCGUGAAUGUGCAUGGGUUCGGCUUAUAUUCCCAGAGAGUCGCGUUGCUUGAGCAUGCAGCGCUAAGCAGGUCGUAAACUCGACCUAAGGCUAAAUAUUUCCACAGAACCGAUAGCAAACAAGUACCGUGAGGGAAAGUUGAAAAGCACUCUGAAGAGAGAGUCAAAAGACCGUGAAACCGUUCAGUGUAUAAGCCAAUGGUACAAUCGGAAGGCUGGAGCUGCCGGCUACACUUGCUGUGACGGUAUCGGAUGUGAAAAGUCUAAGGCGCACCUGAUCUGGCAUUAAGUUGAUAGCAGGUCGACUACAAACAUGCGGGUCUCUGACAGUGGUAACAGGGGAGGUGAACUUGAGGCAUCUCCCCGAGGCUGGGCUUAUGCAUGGGGGCGUUGAAGGUCACACAAACGAGUAGCUCAUUAACGGCCCACCACAACUCUUUACGUGGUCACCCACACGACAUGAAGUGCACUGGCGUGGCGAGCCCUCGAUAUUCGCGCUGUCGAGGCCGGCCGCCAGUCUCAUGUGUUCCAACGUGUGUUUGGUACGAUCCUCUGUGAAGGUUGCUUUCUGACCAUCCGAAGCUAAGAUGUGGGUCGAGUGCUUGGGGGACCCGCAAUAAUACUCUGCGGAGGGUCUGUGGUAGUUGUGAUUGCUUAGGAUGACUUGGUGUCUUAUUCCGGAACCAUUGGUCACGUCUCGAAACACGGGCCAAGGAGCAUAGCAUGUGCGCAAGUCUAAGGGUCUCACAAAACCCGGUGGCGAAGUGAAAGCAAGUGGUGUGUCAGUGGUCAUCUUCGGCUGACUGCUGGCAGCCCCUGAGAGCGUAAUUCCUUUGAGGAUGAAUGCGUCUCGGGCUUAUACCGGGCUGAUCCAACGCAAUCAAGACGAAUGUCGAUGCGAUGGCGCAGGCCCCAGGCUCUCAAUCAGCAUGUUACGUGUUUGGGAGCACUGUGGAGCGUGUAUGCUAUGACCCGAAAGAUAGUGAACUAUGCCUGGCGA